rnacentral:lncRNA from 1 species
UAAUUUGACACCCCCAGUAGGUCAUUUAUUCUAAAAUUUCUCUUGCUUUAGCAUACUUAACUUUUCUAAUUUUAUGGGUCUAUCUAUCACCCUAAAUACUAUAAGCGGGUUAAAAUUUUUUAUUCUGUUCUCAUCAAGCUCAGACUCAUAAGUAUAAUACGAUGUGAAACUUGUCUCGCUAGCUUUAACCGAUCUUGUGGGGAAGCCGCGCUCCAUCCACGACAGUCAUCAGCAUGAAAAUCUCGCUCUUCUUGCUGUAUAAUUUUGGCUCAAUUGAAACUCACCUUAUACUUCCGGCUGGUAAUUGACUCCGAUACCAACUGUAACGCCUUAGUAUCUGGAAGGUCACCCAUCUUAGAAUUUUUCUAACUCUAGUAUGUUUAACUUUCUUAAUCUCUUGAAUUUAAUUAAUAACGGUCCAAAAUACUAUAGCAAAGUUAAAAGUUUUAGCCUUAUUAUAUUUUAUACAUAU